GGACCUUGGUGGGAGAGGCAAAGAAGAGGACUUUGGUCAAGCAAAAGCUUUCCACUCCUCCUGGAAGUGUGCUGGGAGAGAAAAAGAAAGUGACAGGAGUUGAGCAAAAGCCUUCCACUUCUCCAGGGAGUAUGUUGGAAGAGGCGAAGAAGAGGACCGUGGUCAUGGAAAAGACUUCCACUACUUCAGGGAGUAACCAGAGUGAUGCAAAGAAGGGGAUUUUGGUCAAGAAAAAGCUUUCCACUCCUCCUGUGAAUAUGCUGAAAGAGGGAAAAAAGGUAAAUGAGGUCUAUCAAAAGCCUUCAGCACCUCAGGAGAGUGUACUCAAAGAUAAAAAGGAGGUCACUAUGGUUGAGAAAAAAACUUUUUCUCCUCCAGGUUGCAUGGAGGGAGGGAUAGAUGAGGUGACUAUGGUUGAGCAGAAGUCUUCAGCUUCUCUGGUGAGUAUGCUAGGAGAGGGAGAAAAUGUGACUAUGGUUGAGUAAAAGCUUUCUACUCCCCCAGGGAGUAUGCUGGUAGAGGGAAAGAAAGAGGUCGUGGUCAAUCAAAAGUCAUCUGCUCCUCCAGGGAGUAUGCUAGGACAGGGAAAGAAGUUGAAUGUGGUCGAUCGAAGGCCUUCUCCUAAGGUUCACUCUCUUGAACCCUCUGAAAUAAAAAAGAAAAAGAUACUGCUGACACCAAAGAGUGUUCACUCUCUGAAAUUGGAUUCCUCCAGUGACAAGAUGCCAAAGACAGAAAAGAAAAUCAAAUCUUCAUCUAAGAUCUUAGGAGGUGUAUAUGCAGGAGGCAAGAAAAACAGUGUUGGUAAUUAUAGAAAACAAAUAAUUGCGCCUAAAGUAUCUACAGAAAAAUCUUUGAAGAUGCCAACUCUUUUAUCUCCUCCAAAAUCUUCCUCUGUUAAACCUUUGAUCUUGAGGGUGAGAAGCAAUAAAAUCUUAAAACUGCUAGCUCCUCUAAAGGACUAGAACAAGAUGCGGAGAGAUGGGAUAAACAAACUGAACCCUGAAAUAGUUCCUGAGAAAACUUUACGUACUCCCAAAGUGAAAGCAUCACCAAAGUCUCCAUCCCAUUUACAAUCACAUCCGUUGUCUAAUGAAGAAGAUAAAAAGGAAGUUGUUAAGCCUGCAGACAGUGCAUUAGGUAAAUACACCUCUGGCAGCAAAAAGCUGUUGCACAUAGCAGAAGCAAAAACUGUUGGGAAAAAUCAGAAAAAGACAUUGAGAAAAGGUAAGAUAGGAUUUUCUAAUGAUAAUAAUUCUUCGGCAGGGAAACUGAAGUUUAGGAGGGGAAAGAUAGUUGAUCUCCAGUAAGAAACCAGCAGCCCUAGGAGGCUGACAUUUAGAUGGGGACGACAUGUGGGUGAAAGCCAGGAUAGCAAUACAAGAAAGAGAAUCUUUAAAAAUAAAGGAGUUGAUGGUGACAAAAGUAAUACCAUCACUAUCUCUGGAAAAAUUGUUUUGAGGCGUCAGGAUGUGCAAGAAAAGAAAGAUGUGCAGGGUUUGUUGAAUAAUGUGAUUGAAGAGAUGACGAGUAAGCUUGUUGAAACCGGGAAGAGCAAGGUUAAAGCUUUGGUGGGAGCUUUUGAGACAGUGAUUUCCCUCCACAAUAAACCUUCUGCUGUCAUAGUUUCUUGAUUAACUAAUAGAAUUUUAUAACAAAUAGGAGCAAUUGCAAAUAUAGUGGUUGAUAUAGAUUUUCGGACCUGGUUUACAUAUGUUUGUCCUGUUUCUCAUUCUGACUCAUCUUCGUAACGAUUUCUUGAUGCUUUCCGGUUCUGUUCUUAUGAUUGAAUAAAUUUAAUUUCUUCUGGAUGCAUUUACUUUGAAUUGGGAGAUAAAGUUACGCAAGACUACAAUUUCUUUUUCACUUAUGGAGGUUGUGAUAGUGACGUUAAAUCAGUGGGUGUUUGGAUGUAGACAUUCUAAUGUUAGGCUGGUUGAUCAGUGGACAUAUAUUGUUGCUGGACUUAUUUACGAGGGAUUUGUUCAUACUUUCUGUUGAAUAAGCGCAUUGAAGAAGGCACAUCAUGUGGAAAUACCAUCCAAAAAAGAGUUUUGGCUAUGGUACUGGUUUGACAUUGUGCUUGUAUACUAUUUUCUUUAGUUGUUCUGUAAAGGGAUCUGUCUCUUGACUGUAAAACUUAUUGCUUUUUUCUCUGUCAUACAAUACAAUAAGAUAUAAGUAACAAUCAAAUGUAAAUAUUGUAACCACCUAAACAAGUAACAAUAUUUAUGUGCAUCUUUUAUUCAGGUAACUCAAAACAGCUUAUAAUAAGUCCCUUUGUUGGAAUAUUGUACGUUUUAGCUUAAAGAAGCCACUGCAGCUUGUUAGACUUAGAUACAUGUACCUUCAUGGCUCCACCUAUCAACCAUAACAUCCAGCUAAAGUUGAGUCACUCCAUGUACUUGUGUUAAAAGUUAUUUUUUGAGUCUCCUUACUCCAAUUUGUCAUUGAAAGCUCACACAUUUUAUCAUGCAACAAAUUUCUGCUCAACUAAAUCUGAGACUCUUAUCGAAGAUGGCUAGAAGUACUAAUGAAAAUGCUCAUAAAAGUUUUAGUUCACAUAAACUUAGAAAUAGUGUCAUUGGCCAUACAAGUAUUCGAGGUAAGUUCUCAUAUCACAAUAUAAUAAAAUAUCUAGUUGGAAGAAGAUGGUUAGAAGUUCUACAUUCGAGAGUAUGAUUUAAUCAAAAGUGUUAAGGGUUACAUUUGUUUAACUUUUAAGGUGGGGGGACAAAUAAGUUAUGAGAUCAAAUUUCCUUAACUCUGUUGUACUAUGAAAAGUUCAUCAAAAAAUGGAGUAGAAACGAAGCCAACAAUCAGAUCAUGCAAAAGUUCAUAGAAGUAAGGGUCAAGCAAAGUGCUAUACACAAGCCACACGAAAUCCUCAACUAAUAAACGAAACUUCAACAAACGGAGGCAGCAUGCAGAAAGUUUCACUAACAACAUUAUAACAUCAGAAAACUAAUUAAAACAUUAAAAUCCUACAAAUCACUCUUGAAUCACUUCAGUUAAAAUUCUACUAAGACUGAUUUGCUGAGAAGCAAAAGAGCAAUUUUCCUUCAGUUGUCAAUGUAGCAGUGACGCAACUUCAGAAUCUUCAUGGAGAAAUUGACAUGGCUUCUAAUUCUGCUCGAGCGNNNNNNNNNNNNNNNNNNNNNNNNNNNNNNNNNNNNNNNNNNNNNNNNNNNNNNNNNNNNNNNNNNNNNNNNNNNNNNNNNNNNNNNNNNNNNNNNNNNNNNNNNNNNNNNNNNNNNNNNNNNNNNNNNNNNNNNNNNNNNNAAGGUCAUUUUGGUCUUUUAGCCUUGUCUAAAUGACACUCCAUUGCCACCCACCUCAUUAAGGGCAUUGGAGUCAUUUUAUCUUUAUUUUGUAAUAUACUAUAUAUAGUCUAUUUUAGGUCAUUUCUCUUUAGUUAAUGAAUGAUGAACAUUUGAAAGACUUAUUCCCUCUUUGGAGAGUGCAACACCUUAGUAUAGUUCUUAGUUAGGGCUUGGAAAAGUCAUCCUAUAGUAUAGGGCUUGGAAAAACCAAUAUUGUUCUUUGCUUGGAAACGGUGGAUCUUGUGGUAAGUGAUUCCCUUGGCGGUCACUGUAAGAGUGGUGUUGUUGUUACAUUAAUUAGAGGUUUAGUGUUUGAAUCACACUUUGUUCCUAAGUCUUGUAACAAAUCUAUAUCUCACUAUCUAUCCUUUUAGUUUUGUAAUCUUGUUAUUGUUUGUAGUGGACUGUUUUUGUGUCUUGUUGAAUCCGAAAUUUUGUGUUCUUGUUGUCAUCUUGUUCUUCACGAUUUGUGUCUGUUUUGGGUGUUAAAUGAACCUUUGUUUCUUGUAUUCUUGUUGUAUUUGUCGAAUCCGAGUGAGGUCUCCAUUUGGUCCACGAUUUGUGGUGAUUUGUGGACUGUUUUGGAGGGUGUAUUGGACUGUUUUGUGGCUGUUUCAUGUUCCUCUUUUUUGUCUUGUAUCAAAUCCAUCUUUGAUUUUGUUCUAACAAGAUCAAUUUUGGGCUUGAGACUUGAAAAACACACAAAAAAAAAACUGUAAACUAAAAUUUUCAGAAAAUAGCAAUCUGUCCACUUUGUGUUCUUGGCCGAAAAUUGUGUUCUUGUUGUGUCUUGGCUGAGAUUUUUACUUGCCUUAAAGUGUUUCUAGCCUUAGUAUUGUUCUUCACUAACACUUUGAGUCUAUAUCUUGAUUUGAGUCUUUGUUGUGGAUGUUGUUAUUGUGAACUUGGACUUGGCCGAUUGUUGUUGGUAUUGUUGUUGUGGAUUCAAGACUUGAACGUGUGAUGUAUUGUUGGUUCAAGUUUGAACGUGUAUUUUGGGGAUUGUUUUGGGGAUUUUAAGCUUGAAAAGGUGGUGUUGUUUGGAAGGUCCAACUUGCACGUUAGAACUUUGAGACUCAAAAUUUGUGUUCUUGAUGUUCUUAGUGUUCUUCACCAUCUCUAUAUUUUGUUGAAGAAAAAGUGGUUGUUGAUUCUAUAAGUUGAAGAAAGAGAGUGUGAAUUGAUUUUAGUCUUUCAAGACAUAAAUCCAAGAUUUAAGGUGUAAGACUUGUGGCUCAAAGACUUUUCCUUCACACUCAAAGACUUACAACCACUUCCAACAACCUUCCAUGUUUUGAGGAUCUUGUUUUAAGGAAAGUGUACAACAAAGUUCUCUUUUUGGAAUUGAAAGGGGAUUACAAGACUUAUAUUUCCCUCCUAAAACCAAAUCCACCAUUCCCAACUUACAAAUUGAUCAAGAAUUCCAAUUUUGGAAAAUAAAUUUGUUACGACCGCAACCAAUACGUGGCUGCCACAUCAUGUUUUACUGUUCACACGACAAAUUUUGGCUCAAAUUUUAGAUUCUUAGUUUCAUUUUACUGUCUCCUAGUUUCAUGACUUGAUUCUAGAAUUAAUUAACAACUAGUAAUCACCUGCUAAGUUGUAGAUUAAUUGUUGAAUCCAUUUCUUUCGUGUCUUUAUUGUUUGUGUAUUUUCUCGUUUCUAACUCGCCGUAACUUUUUUGUUUCAAGUUUGUAAGUAAAUUUUAUUUUGUGUCUUGAGUCGAUCCAACAAGAAUCUAUUCCGGUCGCCAAGUAGAAUUGACAUCUUAUUGACUACCGGAGUAUAAGCAACUUUCAAUAUUCGCCGCUUCAAUUGUAAGAAUCACAAAGGUUAGUAUAUACGAGUGUUGGUAAGGAAGCUUUACUACUAAUAUUAUUUGUUCAUUGUGUAGGUACAAAGGUGAUAUUAGGGGAACAUGUCUUCGAUAAUCGGGUAUUAUUAUGACUACGACAUGGGAGACUAUGAUUGUAGUAAAAGGUUUUAUGGCUACGAAGUUGAGGGAGAUUGUGGGGGCUAUGAAAAUAGCCAUGAUCAAAACUUGGGCAGAUUUGAGGGUCUCGGGUUUAGGGGAGAAAAUGACGGAAAUGAUGGCCUAGUACUUAUGGUGAAUUUGGAGAUGAUGUAGGACCUCGUGAUGGUUCUUACGAUGAAGUUGGGACAUGUGAGGAGUCUUAUACUUCCCACUCUGAACCUACAUUUGGUGUUGGUAUAACCCUUUCAUUCGCAAAGCUUAUGAGAGCUAUGAUGAGAGUACGCAUGUGGAGUGUGAAAGAUCAUAUUCUUCACCUUGUACUACUUUUUAUCAAGGUCGACAUGGUGUGAUUGGUUAUACUAGCUAUAGUAGAGGUUGUCCCAUGAGAAAAAGAGCGCAAGCAUCUCCAAAACCGAUGGGUACUCGUGUACCUUACAAUGUUGAUCCAAGGAGGAGUGUACACUCCGAAAAGGUGACUAUUUGUGGGAUACCGGGCUGCCUUAUGGUGUUGAAUGAUAGGUACUAUGAAAACUACAUUCUUCUGUCCAUGGUUGACUACUUAGGGUUAUUUCGAGAGUCUUUACUUGUUCCAUACUACUUAGGCGAGUUCAAGGUUACCGAGAGGGUAAAAGUUGUCUUCUCCCAAUUUGAUUACCAUAAGGAGGUGUGGUGCAAUGUUUUUUCCUUAACCUACGGUCAUAUGAGCUUGGGUGCCGAUUGGUUUGCACGACAUCAAAUUCCUAACGUGCAAUAUUGGCCUAAUAUUGUAAGAGACCAAUGGGGAAAUCUCCUCAUAAUGUACUUGCUACCCAAACCACAAAGAGAAAUGCUUACCUACUCCAAUCUAAUUUAUGAUGAGAGACAAAAGAUUGAGAGGAGUAAGGGAGUGCAAGGUGGUAAUUGGAGAGUGGAAAAAGGAAAGGAUAUGUAGAGCGAAAUGAGGGGAUUGCCACCAAACCGUACUAACAUUGACUGUCCUUCUAUUUCUAAGGACAUUUGUGUAGGUACCAACAUGGCAAGCGAAGGCGAACAAUGCCAAAAGGAAGUUGUUGCUCAAGCUUGUGGAGGACCUUCACCUCACGGAAAGGAAGAGUCUACUCAAGAUCUUAAAGGUAAAAUAGCUAACUCUUACACUUUAGUGUAUGUGAAUGACAAUUGUGUGGCUGGUAAGCCAUUGAGUGUGAGUAGUAGCUUACUUAUUUAUGAGUCUAAUUAUUCCUUGUAUCUUGUUGAUGAUGUACAUAUUGUAAGUUUGGAUACACUAGUUGAUCCUAUUGAUGACGAAAUUGACUCUUCUUGUAGGAUUAAUUUAUGUCCAUCUAGUGUUGAAGCUUAUAUGUUUAACGGAAGUAAAUCGUCUUGUGUAAUUGGUGUUGAUCAACUUGUUUGUGAAAAUUGUCCCCCACUUGAGUAUGUGUGUGAUGUGCUUAAUAGGACUCAAGUGAGUGAAGUAUUUGAAAAUGUUGGUCAACAAAGUGGGAGUGAACCCGAGAUCUCUUCUUGGGAUAAUCUUGUGUUUGGAACAUCAUUGAAACUUGUUAUUGAUCAUUUAGAGUGUGAGGAACUUGCUUAUUCCAAAUCUGUCCGUGAGGUAGAUCACAUUCUCCUUAGGUGUAAUGUCUUGUUUGAAGAUGAUUUAAACACUUCUAAUAAAGCUAGUGGUGAAAAUGAUGGUAUAGCUUGCCUUGGAAGCAAUAGCCUAUAUGCUAACCCACUUUGGUGUGACAACAUUCCUCCUAAAGAUGGAAAUCUCUUCUUGGAAGAUGAGAGUACUCUUAGGGGUAAGGAAUGUGUAGUUGCGGAAGCUACUUCUUCUUUUACUUUGUAUGACUUUAUUUUUUAGAGUAAUCAUGGUUAUUAUUGGGAAACUAGUAGGGAGUACACAUAUGAGGGUACCUUGGUAGAAGUCGAUUUGAGUGAUACCUUUCUUUACUCUCUAUUUGCUUUGGAUGAUAUGUAUGCUAUUAUAGAGAGUAUGUCGUUUAGUUUGGGAGUAGACCACAGAAAAGCGGAUUGCUUUCUAGACCCGUGUCUAUGGCCACUUUUCCCAUUUGACCCCGGUGCCAAAUGUAGAAAUGGUGAUGUUGGUGCACCCAACUUGUUGUUUGGUCUACAUGACAAGCAAAGUAUCACUCUUGGUGUAUCCCAUAACCAAAUCCUUUGUACAUCUUUCAUUGAGUUUUUAAUACUCACUUCAAAGGAUUCUUGAUUAUACUUCAAGUAUGUACCCCCUUGGCGUGAUGAUGUUUAUUAUUGUGCCAACCCUAACCCUCAUGCUAUGAGGAUGUUGUGCUUGUUUGUCCUUUCUCUUGUUUUGCAAGGUACGGAUUCCAGGUUGAAUCCUUUUCAAGAAGGGGAGGAUGAUACAAGUGAAAUGACCGCCUUAUCUUUCGAUGAUAUUAUUCAAAGUCACUACGUGAAGAAUCAAGUUUUGGUCCCAUGGAGGGCACGGGAUCAUACUUGUAGGGGCUAUUUUAAGCAUGCCAUCAAACAAACCCGUGUGUGGAAGAUUACUUGGAGCCUUGAAGACUAGAGGACUCACGGGUUUGGACCACAUUUGAUGGUUCANNNNNNNNNNNNNNNNNNNNNNNNNNNNNNNNNNNNNNNNNNNNNNNNNNNNNNNNNNNNNNNNNNNNNNNNNNNNNNNNNNNNNNNNNNNNNNNNNNNNNNNNNNNNNNNNNNNNNNNNNNNNNNNNNNNNNNNNNNNNNNNNNNNNNNNNNNNNNNNNNNNNNNNNNNNNNNNNNNNNNNNNNNNNNNNNNNNNNNNNNNNNNNNNNNNNNNNNNUAUCUCACUAUCUAUCCUUUUAUUCUUGUAAUCUUGUUAUUGUUUGUAGUGGACUGUUUUUGUGUCUUAUUGAAUCCGAAAAUUUGUAUUCUUGUUGUCAUCUUGUUAUUCACGAUUUUUGGCUGUUUUGGGUGUUAAAUACACCUUUGUUUCUUAUAUUCUUGUUGUAUUUGUCGAAUCUGAGUGAGGUCUCCAUUUGGUCCACAAUUUGUUGUGAUUUGUGGACUAUUUUGGAGGGUGUAUUGGACUGUUCUGUGGCUGUUUCAUGUUCCUCUUAUUUGUCUUGUAUCAAGAAUAGAUUUGGCUAUUCAAAAAGGAUUGUUUAUGUUCAAAGAAGAUAGAAUAUACCAAGUUAAAUACACUCACAUGCUUGGAAGGAAUCCUCUCAUAUGUAGUGAAACUUCCAUAUGAAGGUGAACCCAUUGAGAACUCAGAUGCAGCCAAGGAUUCUCUCCUGUUACUCUUUCUAGGUUUCUUCUCAAUGCUCUGAGCCUCAUCAUCCUCUGAUUUGGGAUAUUUCUUUCUAUGAGAUGAACUUAUUUGAAAGAUGCUCAUCUCAGACGGACGUCUCGCUCCUGCGACAUCGACCUCUGUUGGCCAAUUUUGAGAGUAAUGCUUCUUUUUGACAACAUGGUGUGUGGCAAAUUUCUUACUUGAGACUGUUACUGGAUGCAAAGUCUUAUCACUUCUUCUCUUCACGUAGAGAACUGUACCAGCAAGCAGACUCAGUACAAGUGAGGAAAUUCCUAGGAUCUAAUAUGCACCAACAUUAUCUCCAUCAUGUCUUAUUGGAGACUCCAUCAUUUCCAAAGGUUGGGCUUCUUCAACAGCAAAAAUUUCUUUCACUAUGCUUUCAGGAUUGUCAAUCAUCGACUCAAGUGCAUUAUCAGCAAUGAAAGAUUGGGAUUCAGCCAACUCAACCUCAACAUUAGAAGUUGUGAGCCCUUGGUCCAAAUCACUUUCUGAACUAUCAGAUUCAUUCCCCUCAGCUGGGACAACAGAAACUUUUUCAGUCUCCACCAAAUCAUGCUUUCCUUGUUCUACAUCCUUUUCUAAGCUAUCAGCCCCAUUUACCUCGGCUAAUUGAAUUGCGGAAGCUUCUUCAAUCUCCAACACAUCCACUCCUUCAAUUUCAACUUCCCCACCAUCAUCUAAAUCAGCAUCCAUUUGAAAUUCUUCCUCAUCUGGAUCGGUUUCAGAUUCUUCAUCCUCUUCUAACUCAAUUGGAUCAAACUUUUUAUCCAAUUUCUCACUACCAGUACUGCCUUUCAAAUAUCCGUGAUAUAUAUUGCUACUCUCUUCUAGAGCAGUCAAGUUCAUGAAUUUAAUCGGAUGCACAUCAUCUAUUCUACCAAGGUCAUUAAUCAACUUUGAGAAAUAAGAAACCACUUCUUAUUUGCAGAAAAGAACGUAGCUUUACCGUCGGAUAAGGUGAUUGAAGUCCUUACAGGAUCAUUU
rnacentral:lncRNA from 1 species